rnacentral:rRNA from 1 species
GACGAACGCUGGCGGCGUGCUUAACACAUGCAAGUCGAACGGAAAGGCCCUGCUUUUGUGGGGUGCUCGAGUAGCGAACGGGUGAGUAACACGUGAGUAACCUGCCCUUGACUUUGGGAUAACUUCAGGAAACUGGGGCUAAUACCGGAUAGGAGCUCCUGCUGCAUGGUGGGGGUUGGAAAGUUUCGGCGGUUGGGGAUGGACUCGCGGCUUAUCAGCUUGUUGGUGGGGUAGUGGCUUACCAAGGCUUUGACGGGUAGCCGGCCUGAGAGGGUGACCGGCCACAUUGGGACUGAGAUACGGCCCAGACUCCUACGGGAGGCAGCAGUGGGGAAUAUUGCACAAUGGGCGGAAGCCUGAUGCAGCAACGCCGCGUGCGGGAUGACGGCCUUCGGGUUGUAAACCGCUUUCGCCUGUGACGAAGCGUGAGUGACGGUAAUGGGUAAAGAAGCACCGGCUAACUACGU